rnacentral:rRNA from 1 species
UACGGGGGGGGCAAGCGUUGUUCGGAAUUACUGGGCGUAAAGGGCUCGUAGGUGGCCAACUAAGUCAGACGUGAAAUCCCUCAGCUUAACUGGGGAACUGCGUCUGAUACUGGAUGGCUUGAGUUUGGGAGAGGGAUGCGGAAUUCCAGGUGUAGCGGUGAAAUGCGUAGAUAUCUGGAGGAACACCGGUGGCGAAGGCGGCAUCCUGGACUAACACUGACACUGAGGAGCGAAAGCCAGGGGAGCAAACGGG